rnacentral:rRNA from 1 species
CCCGGAGAUGGAUUCUGAGACAUGAAUCCAGGCACUACGGUGUGCAGCAAGCGCUAAAACUUUACAAUGCAUUAACGUGCGAUAGGGGAAUCCGGAGUGCUCCAGCACUGCUGGAGCUUUUGCUCAUUCCAAAUACAUGGGCUAAUAAGGGCUGGGCAAUACGGGUGCCAGCCGCCGCGGUAAUACCUGAGGCCCGAGUGAUAGCCGCUAUUAUUGGGUCUAAAGCGUCCGUAGCCGGUUUCGUAAGUUCCUGGUGAAAUCGUCCGGUAGACUGGACGGCGUGCUGGGAAUACUACAAGACUUGAGACCGGGAGAGGGUGGGGGUACUUAUGGG